UACGUAGGGGGCAAGCGUUAUCCGGAUUUACUGGGUGUAAAGGGAGCGUAGACGGCUUUGCAAGCCAGAUGUGAAAGCCCGGGGCUCAACCCCGGGACUGCAUUUGGAACUGUAUGGCUGGAGUGUCGGAGAGGCAGGCGGAAUUCCUAGUGUAGCGGUGAAAUGCGUAGAUAUUAGGAGGAACACCAGUGGCGAAGGCGGCCUGCUGGACGAUGACUGACGUUGAGGCUCGAAGGCGUGGGGAGCAAACAGG
rnacentral:rRNA from 1 species